UGGUGGGUUGGUCGUCUAGGCGAAAUGAUCAAGUUUAAACUAGCUUCUUGACUCAUUGAGCUUGGGAUGAGAUUGAUUAAAAGCAAACUCAUGCUCAUGGAGAAUAGCUAAGCAAAGCUUGAGCAAAGAAAACUCAGUUUCGUACAUAUGCAGGUAAAAAUUGCACAGUAUCACAUGCAUUGAAUGUAACUGUUUAUCACAUUGGCAAUACUUAAAAAACAAAAGGGACAAGCCUGUAUAGAUCAUAAACAACGAUCAAGAAAUUAAAUCAAACCAAAAAUGGAUAGAUUCAUGAUCAGUUAGCAAAACUGCAGAAACUUGCACAUCAAGGGGGGAAAAAACCUGCCUUGGAAGAUUCAUUGGCGUAUUAGUUUCAGUGUCUCUCAAUCUGUUCGGUACAAUCAUGUGUAAGGUCAUUUACUUUGAUAUCCUCUUCCAUUGGAUCAUAAUCGAUGAUAGUUAACAACACUUCUGCAUUAUCAGGUUGGAAAGGCUCGG
rnacentral:lncRNA from 1 species